GUCUACUUUGGGUCUGCACGGUCGGGUUCGGUUGGAUUAAUUGGGCCCGUCGGACCCCGAACCCGACCGAUACUAAUUACUAUAUGUAACAGCUACUGGUAAUGGCCCAAUCCAGUGCAAAGAAUUCUCUGGCCCAAUUGAUUUUCUCAAACCCUAACCUAAUAAACACAACAUACAAAUACCAGAUCUCAGUAAAUUUCCCAAAUCGUUUUCACUUCUUCUUCGCCGCCGCCGCCGUCACCAUGCCUUGAAACCUAACCCUAAACAACUCAUGCAUCUUUGCCGUCACCACUAACCACGCCGCUCUUCCCUCAUCUUCACAUCAUCACUGUAAUCUCAAGCUAGCUGUCUUUGUUUGUCCAACCUCGAACCUCAGCAUUCAACUUCCAAAAUUACGAGCAAGAAGAGCUUUAUGUUCUUUUUAAGGGUUUGUGUUUGGUGAACUCUGUUUGGUGAACGGUUGAAACUUACUAAAGUUUUCAGAAAUUACAUGGCCUUAAAAAAGUGUGAGAUCUAUAUUUUCUGUUAUGUAAGCAAAUUUCUUGUGUUCUGAAAAUAUAUGUAAAUCACUUUACAUGGAAGGGCCUAUGAGAAUGCAGGGAGUUGAGUCUGAAAACGUCUAAUAGCAAGAACAAUUUAUUUUAUCUAUGUUUGAAGUAUUACUGUUAAUAGCCUUUUAAUUAUAAGACUGAGGAUUUAUGACUUAUGUUUCAUAGAAAUUAUGUUGCAGCUUAUCUUAGCAUAAGAUGAAACACAGUGCAGAAUCCAUGUAUAAAGCAAGCAUUUGAUAAUGGAUUUGCUUGCAUGAAUUAGUAUGAUGACAGGAUUUGCUUGCAUGAAUUAGUUGGAGGAAGUAAAUAUGGACAAAACACAUUUUAUCUUACAAUAUGACUAGGAAGGAAAUAUGGACAAAACACAUUUUUCUUACAAUAUGAAUAAAAUUAUAAAAUUUGUCUAUUAUGUUUUCUAAAAUGGCUAU